GUGCUUGGUUUGGCAGCACAUAUACUAAAAUAGGAACAACACAGAGAGGAUAAAAUGGCCCCUGAAGAGUCCAUAUUUAAAAAAGAGAGAACUAAAAUAUUG